UUAAAAAUUGAUGUAGAAGUUUGAUACAGCUCAGGCUGUCGAUAAUCUUGGUCCAAAGACCACAUUUAUUGUCAUCUUCAAAUUAGAUAAUUACAAGCAUAUAUUUUUUAACCAAAUCAAAAAUUGACUGUCGCAGCCAAAAACAUGUUCGAAAUUCGAACCCCCAAAACAAAGAGCCGAGAACCAUCCACUCGAUCUGCUUCUGCGCUGUUGUUUCUUAGUUUAUUUUUCUACAUUGAUAAAUAUAAAAUUAAUAUAUAAAUAAUAAUAAUCAAUCAACAAACCAGAAGAAAUUGUCAGGAUGCAAAACUUCAAGUAUUAAUCAACAAAAACCUCAAAACAGCUUAGAUUGAUAUCCAAAAAGCAUUAGAUUCUGUUCCACACACAUACCUUUUAGACUGCUUAAGAGCGGCCAACAUACCAACAAACCUGAUAAAAUUUGUAGAAAGAACUUUGGAAUUCCAAAAAACCAAUCUCCAAUUAAACAAUGAAAAUAUUGGAGCAGUGAUGAUGAUAACCAAAUGACCAGUCUUCCACUAAAUGAUCCCGCAACAUGUGAUGAUGAUAUCCAAAUGUUCUUUGAUCCAAUUAAUAACGGAUGUUUGAAUAGUGUUGAUCAAUUUGAUGAUCAAGAUUCUGUAUCAACUGACUCUGAAACAAAUGAAUUUAGCGACGAAUAUUUAACCGAUGAAAAUGAAAGUUUAUUUUUCAGAAAAUUGGAAUCGACUUUAUCAAAUUCAAAUAUGCAAAUGUUUGAAAAGUUUGGCAAAAACAUCAUUAAUACCCGAAUAACGCGAAACAUAAGGUAUGGUACGUUUAAUAUGAUUCUUGUACCUUGUGUUGCGACGUAUAAUUGUUCAAAGUUUCACAAAAAUAUUCCAAGUGGCGGCUGUUCAGGAGCGAUUUGAAGAAAAUGUUAUCCCAUGAUAGUCUUUGAUACAAAGUGAAUCAAAUAUUCAGAGUGAUAACGAUAUAAAAUGUUAUCGCGACGGGUUAGUGUUUAAUAACACCCUAAUUGCAUAAGAUUAUCAUUAUUUAUCGACCAAUGCGAGCCAUGUUCAGCUCUUGGAGCACGAGCCACCAAAAACAAGAUAAUAAUUCAACGUUGGUGACUGUUUUUCCGGUCAUAUUUGCCAAAUAUUCAGAUAUUAAGGAUAAUUAUUCAGCAUUUUUUGGCAAUUUGGUCGAUGAUUUAAAUAAACUUUAUCAAGAUGGCCACACGAUGGAUUUAUCUGAUGGAACUCAGUAUAAAUUUCAUGCGAUCUUAGCUUCCGUUGUGGCUGACUCUCUGGCUUACCAUCAUGUUUUUGGAUUGAUGAGGGAAUCACCGAUUUGUCAUUCAAAAAUGGAUCAUCAUGCUGAAAUUUAUCAUGAAUCACUACCAUCACUUUAAGGAUAAGAUAAAAAACUUUCUUCUUUUUGAAUUCAUAUCUUAUAUGAAAAUGGCUUGUUUUAGAGGAUUUUUCACUUUUUUCGCUGUUAAUCGAUCCAAUGAUUGUCGCGACGAGAAACGUCCUUCAUGAACGGUCCCGCUGUUUGGCGCUAUUUGACAAUACACGAAUAGUUAGCGAGCAAAAACCCAUUGUCCAACGAAAAUUUGUGUGCACGUACAUGUGUUCUUUGUUUUGUAAUUCAUGUACUGUUUUUUGUGUGCUUUUGAAUUUUGAUUAAUAUACAAUCAUUAAUAAACCAUUUUUAAAUAAUUAA